rnacentral:rRNA from 1 species
CCCUUAGAUGUCCUGGGCCGCACGCGCGCUACACUGAGUGUCUGAGAUACGAGUCUGCCUGGUCCGGCAAGGUCUAGGUAAUCGCUAAAAGACACAUCAUGCUUGGGAUAGAUUAUUGCAAAUAUUAAUCUUGAACGAGGAAUUCCUAGUAAGCGCAAGUCAACAGCUUGCGUUGAUUACGUCCCUGCCCUUUGUACACACCGCCCGUCGCUACUACUGAUUGGAUGUUUAAGCGAGGUUCUCGAACUGCUAGCGACUUAGCUUCGGUGAGGUCGCAAUGUGGGAAGUGAACCUAGCUUUGGUGUCUAGAGGAAGUAAAAGUCGUAACA